rnacentral:rRNA from 1 species
GAGUUUGAUCCUGGCUCAGAACGAACGCUGGCGGCGUGCCUAACACAUGCAAGUCGAACGUGAACGAUCUUCGGAUCAAGUAAAGUGGCGUACGGGUGAGUAACACGUAGGUGUACCUACCUUAGAGUUUGGAAUAACUUGCCGAAAGGCGAGCUAAUACCGGAUAGAACGAUUUUAUCGGGAAAGGGAGGUCGCAAGACCCCUCGCUCUAAGAUGGGCCUGCGUCUCAUUAGCUAGAUGGUAGGGUAAAGGCCUACCAUGGCGACGAUGAGUAGCUGGUCUAAGAGGAUGAUCAGCCACACUGGAACUGAAACACGGUCCAGACUCCUACGGGAGGCAGCAGUGGGGAAUAUUGCGCAAUGGACGAAAGUCUGACGCAGCAACGCCGUGUGAGUGAAGAAGGCUCUUGGGUUGUAAAGCUCUGUCGGUGGGGACGAAAAUCUGCAGGUUAAUAGCCUGUAGCUGCGGUACCACAAAGGAAGCACCGGCUAACUCCGUGCAGCAGCCGCGGUAAUACGGAGGGUGCAAGCGUUGUUCGGAAUUAUUGGGCGUAAAGGGGAGGUAGGCGGUCUUGUUUGUCGAGGGUGAAAUCCCGGGGCUCAACCCCGGACGUGCCUUCGAAACGGCAAGACUAGAGUAUCGGAGAGGGCUGUGGAAUUCCCGGUGUAGCGGUGAAAUGCGUAGAGAUCGGGAGGAACACCAGAGGCGAAGGCGGCAGCCUGGACGAUUACUGACACUAAACUCCGAAAGCGUGGGGAGCAAACAGGAUUAGAUACCCUGGUAGUC